rnacentral:rRNA from 1 species
GAUGAACGCUAGCUACAGGCUUAACACAUGCAAGUCGAGGGGUAACGAGAGGAAAGCUUGCUUUCCUUGUCGACGACCGGCGCACGGGUGAGUAACGCGUAUCCAACCUGCCCCCAACUAAGGAAUAACCUUGCGAAAGUAAGACUAAUACCUUAUAAUUUCCUCAGAUGUCAUCUGACGAGGAAUAAAGAUUUAUCGGUUGUGGAUGGGGAUGCGUCUGAUUAGCUUGUUGGCGGGGUAACGGCCCACCAAGGCAACGAUCAGUAGGGGUUCUGGGAGGAAGGUCCACCACAUGGGAACUGAGACACGGUCCAAACUCCUACGGGAGGCAGCAGUGAGGAAUAUUGGGCAAUGGGCGGAAGCCUGGACCAGCCAAGUAGCGUGCAGGAUGACGGCCCUAUGGGUUGUAAACUGCUUUUAUACAGGAAUAAAGUUAGCCACGUGUGGUUAUUUGUAAGUACUGUAUGAAUAAGGACCGGCUAAUUCCGUGCCAGCCGCCGCGGUAA